ACCGUUAGUCUAUACUUGAGUAGUCGAUGGACGGACAAAAGACAAAAUAAUCUGCAACUAUUUUGAUAUCCCAUUAAUGUAAUUUUUCAAGCAAAAAAGCCAAACAUUACUAGUUGCAGCCUCUCAGUUGUGACUAUUUGCUGCAUUUUCUUUCUCUUGUAUGAUAGUUAAAGGAGUAUGUUUGGGUUUUGGACUGUUGGUUGAACAAAAUAAGCAAUUUGUAGACAUCACGUCGAAUUUUAGGAAAUUGGGAUUCCCUUUUUCCUCACAUUUACAGACCAAAUGAUUAAUCAACUAAUCGAGAAAAUAGUCAAAAAUGGGCUCAUUGCAGCCCUACACUAAUACAUGAAUUUCAUUGUUAAAAGGUCUUAUUGAUAACAUUUUUAUGUAAACGAAUAUUUAAAAAAAUAAUAAUACAUCCAUAGAGCCUUUAGAAAGGUGCCGAAUAAAAGUGUG